rnacentral:misc_RNA from 1 species
AAGACUAUAGACCUGCGGAGUACCUGCGGAAGGAUCAUUACAGAGUUCAUGCCCUCACGGGUAGAUCUCCCACCCUUGAAUACUAUACCUUUGUUGCUUUGGCGGGCCGCUUCGGCUACCGGUUCCAGCUGGUAAGUGCCUGCCAAAGGACCCCUAAACUCUAAAUAUUAGUGUCGUCUGAGUACUAUAAAAUCGUUAAAACUUUCAACAACGGAUCUCU